UGCUGGUGCCCAAUUUCAUCUGUUCGAUAGCGCUCACACUUAUUUUCAUUUUAACUAUGUCAAAAAUUAAUUGUUUGUCAUUCUCUUGUAGCACAAGUUUGUAAUUCUAUGGCUGCUGAGGAACAUGGAGCGGUUCCACCAGUUGUUUGUUACUCCACCAGAACACAGGUAUCAGUAGCGUCUACACUUAGAGCAGUCCCCAGCAUAACAGCUCACUGUAGCAUCCAGAACACGAGAUGAAGUCGCAGAAGCACUUGGUCGCAACAGCAUGGCACUUCCUGAGAGCUCACUACCAUCUGCAGUAGGCCUGGAUGUCACUGGAAAUUCAUCUACAGUCAGUCUGGUGAUAGAUCUCUUAGGCUCAGUAUCUACAUGACAAGAGUUGUCAAACUUCAAGCCUUUAUUCCAUGCACAAGUUUGUAAUUCUAUGGCUGCUGAGGAACAUGGAGCGGUUCCACCAGUUGUUUGUUACUCCACCAGAACACAGGUAUCAGUAGCGUCUACACUUAGAGCAGUCCCCAGCAUAACAGCUCACUGUAGCAUCCAGAACACGAGAUGAAGUCGCAGAAGCACUUGGUCGCAACAGCAUGGCACUUCCUGAGAGCUCACUACCAUCUGCAGUAGGCCUGGAUGUCACUGGAAAUUCAUCUACAGUCAGUCUGGUGAUAGAUCUCUUAGGCUCAGUAUCUACAUGACAAGAGUUGUCAAACUUCAAGCCUUUAUUCCAUGCACAAGUUUGUAAUUCUAUGGCUGCUGAGGAACAUGGAGCGGUUCCACCAGUUGUUUGUUACUCCACCAGAACACAGGUAUCAGUAGCGUCUACACUUAGAGCAGUCCCCAGCAUAACAGCUCACUGUAGCAUCCAGAACACGAGAUGAAGUCGCAGAAGCACUUGGUCGCAACAGCAUGGCACUUCCUGAGAGCUCACUACCAUCUGCAGUAGGCCUGGAUGUCACUGGAAAUUCAUCUACAGUCAGUCUGGUGAUAGAUCUCUUAGGCUCAGUAUCUACAUGACAAGAGUUGUCAAACUUCAAGCCUUUAUUCCAUGAUUUAGAGGUCUCGCACCUGUGCCACGUGCCACUGUGUGUCGGUGCUAACCAUUUGAGCCCCAUUGCAUCAAUACCGAAAGGCUUAAGUGUGUGAACCGGGCCAUUUGCUGCAGCCAUGGGGUAUACCGAGACUGUUUAUUUGUUUGAGCACAAGUUUGUAAUUCUAUGGCUGCUGAGGAACAUGGAGCGGUUCCACCAGUUGUUUGUUACUCCACCAGAACACAGGUAUCAGUAGCGUCUACACUUAGAGCAGUCCCCAGCAUAACAGCUCACUGUAGCAUCCAGAACACGAGAUGAAGUCGCAGAAGCACUUGGUCGCAACAGCAUGGCACUUCCUGAGAGCUCACUACCAUCUGCAGUAGGCCUGGAUGUCACUGGAAAUUCAUCUACAGUCAGUCUGGUGAUAGAUCUCUUAGGCUCAGUAUCUACAUGACAAGAGUUGUCAAACUUCAAGCCUUUAUUCCAUGGUGAGUUCCUUUGCUUGAACCCAGCUAAUUUCUUCUUUCGGUCGCCUCGCAUAAUUG